GAACGGCAUGUCCAUUCGAGGCCGUCGCGAAUUGGCGUCGGAGCCGUCGCUCGGGUCGUCAGCGUAUUCCUGAUCCGUGGAUCAGUCUCCGGUAACGACGUCACUGGGUUGGAGUAAAUGCGAUAUGGGUAGCUGGGUGUAGCUUGCUCCUACCUCUCCCCGCUGCCGCUCUGGUUCUAUCGAGGGCGGCUCGGCGGCGAAACCUAGGGUUGCUAACUCUCUCGUCCAGCGCGCAUGGAGUUCUUGAUGCAGCCAUUCAACAGUAGAACUCAUAAGCCACAGGCAUCUGAAAACUCCAUAGAGCAGAUUGAUCCAAAGACCCCUGGCUGGACACGAAGACAGACGGCAAAAAGACCAGAAAUAACCUUUUAAGGUAGCUUCCAGCCUGACAACCACCCCGACCGCAGGCAUGGUUGGGCUACGCCUUGGGGGAGGUAUCAUAAGCACUGUCGCGUAUAAGACAGUAGCAGAUGGUCGUAUCGCCUUCAACAAGGAUGGGUGUGGUAGGAAUUCAUGGAGGAGAACGACCUAAAGGUUGGCAGAGCGGUGCUAAUCACCAUCAGGAACAGUGCACUGGACGAACUGACACAUGAUGGUUGUCGUCAACCCGAUCUAAGAUGACCAUCAGGGUCAAUGCUAAAGUUGUCACCGCCUUUUGUUCUGCUGUGUGUUAACUAUGUGGCGCCGCAGUUUGACGAACUAUGUUUGUUUUCUCUUAUUUUGUUAUUGCGGUGGUAUGCACCGUCAAAAAGUAUGUAAUAUGGAGUCUGAAACUUUUUUUAUGAUUUCGUGUGGUACUUGAUUCAUAGGUUAUCAGUAUUUCCUAGUAUCUAUUUUUUCCAGCAAUUUCAGUUCUGCUACGACCAUAGUUUUUGCCUUUUUCAUUUUUGAUGUAGGUUCUAAAUGCUAGUCAUCUGUUUAUCCAGUCUUAAUUUUAUGUCAUUGGUCAGUUAUUAGACUCUUUUUUGUUAAUGUCAGUAUUUAGUUUUUUUUGUCCAUUCAGAUGUGGUUUUUCCUAUGUUCUUUAGUUACUUGGUGGAGGGUGGAACAGGAGAGGCUGUGUGUUUAGUUUUCUUCAGCUUUGUUUUUCUUUUUGGAAUUUUUGCACCAAGCAUUUCAUUGCUGGGAGUAACUUUCAAUUAUCUGAAAUUCAGUAUACUAUCAAAGGACCCAAGUAAGUUCCCCUCUUACUCGAAGCACUCAAAACACUGCUAUAUAUUCAUUUUUUUUAAUUCAGCGCACUAACAUAAAAAAUAUUUUUAUCCAAUCCAGCAUACAGGGAAAAUGGAAGCUCAGGCAAAGAAGCUGGAUGCUCCUUGUGCCAGUCCUCAGUCUGCUAUGCCGAGAGAACGCGUCGUACGAAGGGCUGAGUAACAACAUAACAAGAUUCUGCAUGAUUUGUCGUCGACAGGGACACAAGCGGACAACAUGCCCUCAUCACGGGGAUGUGCCAAAGCAGCCAUGGAAGCCAGGGAGAUGUACAAAUUUCCGUGUCGAAGGGCAUCGCCGAAACAACUGGAGGAGGAGGUCGUAUGGAUCAAAAUGGUUUCUUUCUCACUGGAUCUAGUGUCACCAGCUCCAAAGACUGCUCGCUGGGUGGGUUGCUGGCGAUGUAGGAAGGUGCAGCUUCAGAGUCAUCAGUGAAUCAAGGGACACAAUCUCAGCCAAGCAAUCCAAGUGUAUAUCUGGGCGCUGCAGUCCUUGCAUGGAACAAGAGGCAAAAUCUCGUUAUAGCCUACGGACGAGGACGAUGCAGACAUGGCUAGGAAGAGGUGGAGCUGCUGGCAAUGGCUCGAGUGGGUUCUGGUGGAGCUGCUGGGUGAGGUGUCGCCUGGAUGGAGGAGAUUAUGAAGGAAACAAUUCCUUACUUAACACUAUCUUAAAUUUCGUUUCCUUAUUUGACACUGAAAAACUUUCCUUAUAUAACAACGAGUCUAAAUUUUA